rnacentral:lncRNA from 12 species
GGGGGGGGGGGGGGGGGGGGGGGGGGGGGGGGGGGGGGGGGGGGGGGGGGGGGGGGGGGGGGGGGGGGGGGGCGCUGUGCCGCGAGCCCGUCGGGCGAGCCGGGUGCCCCGGGCGCGGCGCUGGCUCUCGCCCUCGCCCGUGGGUCGCGGGGCGGCGGCGACCCCCGGCAGGCGCGGCCGGUCCUGUUAGCGAUUCUGCGGUGCGCUGCCCUCCCGCUCCGCCGCCCGGGCAGUCGCGACCGAGCGCUGAGUCGUGAUUGGCGUCUGUGGCUUAGGCGAGAGCAGACUGUGUCGCGUGUUCAGGUGAAAACAGAGAUACCAGGACCAAAUUCAUCUCCAGUGACAAUUCUUUAGACUCAAUACAAUUACCCUAGGACGGCUUUUUACAUUGUUUCCAAAACAAGACAGAGCAGAAA